UAGCGGCGGACGGGUGAGUAAUGUAUAGGGAGCUGCCCGACAGAGGGGGAUACCAGUUGGAAACGACUGUUAAUACCGCAUAACGUCUACGGACCAAAGUAUGGGACCUUCGGGCCAUAUGCUGUCGGAUGCACCUAUAUGGGAUUAGCUAGUUGGUGGGGUAAUAGCUCACCAAGGCGACGAUCCCUAGCUGGUUUGAGAGGAUGAUCAGCCACACUGGAACUGAGACACGGUCCAGACUCCUACGGGAGGCAGCAGUGGGGAAUAUUGGACAAUGGGCGUAAGCCUGAUCCAGCCAUGCCGCGUGUGUGAAGAAGGCCUUCGGGUUGUAAAGCACUUUCAGCGGGGAGGAAGGGGUUGUUGUUAAUAGCAACAAUCUUUGACGUUACCCGCAGAAGAAGCACCGGCUAACUCCGUGCCAGCAGCCGCGGUAAUACGGAGGGUGCAAGCGUUAAUCGGAAUUACUGGGCGUAAAGCGCACGUAGGCGGUAUGUUAAGUUGGAUGUGAAAGCCCCGGGCUCAACCUGGGAAUUGCAUUCAAAACUGGCAUGCUAGAAUAUGUGAGAGGGGGGUAGAAUUCCAAGUGUAGCGGUGAAAUGCGUAGAGAUUUGGAGGAAUACCAGUGGCGAAAGCGGCCCCCUGGCACAAUACUGACGCUCAGUGCGAAAGCGGGGGGAGCAAACAGGAUU
rnacentral:rRNA from 1 species